AUGGCAAGUAGAGCAGGUGGUGAACCCAUAAACGAGCAAGUGGUCGCAAACACUUAUGCGAACAUGCGAACUGAAAUGAACCAGCUCUACACCAAGAUCACAGAGCUGGAAAUGGAAGUGAGUGAGCACUCUCUUGUGAUUGUCGCCAUAGAGCCCCUGGACCCCACUAGGCGGUGCUACAGAAUGAUCGGUGGAGUCUUGGUUGAGAGGACCAUCAAGGAGGUGUUGCCCGCCGUGCACCGGAACAAGGAGGGCCUGGAAGAGGUGGUGGCUCGCGUGAAGGAGGCUCUGGAGACCAAAAAGAAAGAGAUGACCGAGUUUGAGCUCAAGUACAAGAUCAGGAUCCGGAAGGGGGGCGACAGCGGUGCCGAGGAAGGCAACAUGAAGGAAGCCUCUGCUCAGGGUGUUCUUGUUGGCCCUGCUGGCAGUAGAGCAGAGUGA
rnacentral:rRNA from 1 species